GUGCUCGCUUCUGUAGCAUAAAUACUAAAAUUGGAACGAUACAGAGAAAAUUAGCAUGGCCCCUGCGCAAGGACGACACGCAAAUUCGUGAAGGGUUCCAUAUUUUA